rnacentral:rRNA from 1 species
CGCCUCUUGCUAAACCAUAAGAGGUCUAGCCUGCCCAGUGAUAAAAUUCAACGGCCGCGGUACCCUAACCGUGCGAAGGUAGCAUAAUCACUUGUUCUCUAAAUAAGGACCUGUAUCAACGGCAUCACGAGGGUUGUACUGUCUCCUUACUCCAAUCAGUGAAACUGAUCUCCCCGUGAAGAAGCGGGGAUUUUAAUAUAAGACGAGAAGACCCCAUGGAGCUUUAAACCCAACAGCAAUCUCCUAAUACAUAAACCUUAAAAAAUACAAAGACYCUGCAUGUUGGUUUUAGGUUGGGGCGACCACGGAGUACAACACAACCUCCACGAUGAAUAGACUAACCCUAUCUAAGAGCAACUGCUCUAAGAAUCAACAAAUUGACAUAUAUGACCCGAGACACUCGAUCAACGGACCAAGUUACCCUGGGGAUAACAGCGCCACCCACUUC